rnacentral:rRNA from 1 species
AUUGAACGCUGGCGGCAGGCCUAACACAUGCAAGUCGAGCGGAUGACGGGAGCUUGCUCCUUGAUUCAGCGGCGGACGGGUGAGUAAUGCCUAGGAAUCUGCCUGGUAGUGGGGGACAACGUUUCGAAAGGAACGCUAAUACCGCAUACGUCCUACGGGAGAAAGCAGGGGGCCUUCGGGCCUUUCGCUAUCAGAUGGGCCUAGGUCGGAUUAGCUAGUAGGUGAGGUAAUGGCGCACCUAGGAGACGAUCCGUAACUGGUCUGAGAGGAUGAUACGUCACACUGUAACUGAGACACGGUCCAGACUCCUACGGGAGGGAGCAGUGGGGAAUAUUGGACAAUGGGCGAAAGACUGAUCCAGCCAUGCCGCGUGUGUGAAGAAGGUCUUCGGAUUGUAAAGCACUUUUAGUUGGGAGGAAGGGCAGUAAGUUAAUACCUUGCUGUUUUGACGUUACCGACAGAAUAAGCACCGGCUAACUCUGUGCCAGCCGCCGCCGUAACAC